CACAGAGAGAGAGAGAGAGAUAGAUUUCUCAGAGAUAAUACAAAAAGAAUUAGCGAUGGAAGCCCGAGCAGUUGUUCCUGCACAACCAAGAGGAUGACAUAUGAAAGACAUUAGGUGUUUGCCCUCAAAAUGACAUUCUUUUGCAGAGUUGACUGGUCAUGCCAUUACAUGGGGUCCUUUCUUUAGAAGAGUUGGUUUCAAGAAGACCUUUCAUCAUUUGUCAGAUUCAUGGCACUCAAAUGGGGAAGAGUAUAAGUGUCGCCAUAAGUAUUACUUAUAAAGUUGUGAUCAUGAUGUGAUUUCUUUCUCACUUUGAUUUUAAUUUAUUUGCUGUAAUCCUGCUUCAAGUCCCCCUUUUUUUUCUUAUCAAAUUAUUUUUUGUAUGAUUUUUGAACUCUGACUGAAACUCUUUCUGCUACCUUCAAGUAACCAAUUUUUGUGAAUUUUUUUUUUAACAGUAAUUGGUGAUUUCAAAGUUUCUGCAGCUCCAACAAGUAUUGGAUGCACUCAUUUUGUUUUCUUUUCAGCGAACUUAUUCAACCUCUCAAAAUAUAGAAAUUCCUUCAGUGCAGUCCUUUGGCAAUGCCUCCUUGCUUAUGUUGCCGUAGAUGCAAUUUAGCCCUUCAAACAUAGGAACAGCUCCCAUUCCAACUCGUGAAUACACCGAUGAUGAGUUCCAAUAUAUCAUUAAGGCUGUCAUGGGUGUAUAGAUGAGAUACGUAGGACAUUAGGUGUUUGCGCUCAAAAUGACAUUCUUUUGCAGAGUUGACUAUAAGUAAGAAGCACAUUUCAUUUUCCUUUCUCUAUGUGGUAAGAUAUUUGAAUUCUAGUUGUUUAUGAUAUAUUCUUAUAUGUACUAGGUUAUUACGGUUAGAUCUUUAUACUACUUGAAUGGUAGUUAUGACAGAAGAUAUGUGUCUUUUCAUUUAGUUGGAGCUCAUCCAAUUAGUAAAAUGCCAGGCACCUAUCA